AUUGAACGCUGGCGGCAGGCCUAACACAUGCAAGUCGAACGAGUGGCGGACGGGUGAGUAAUGUCUGGGAAACUGCCCGAUGGAGGGGGAUAAAUACUGGAAACGGUAGCUAAUACCGCAUACCAUCGGAUGUGCCCAGAUGGGAUUAGCUAGUAGGUAGGGUAACGGCUCACCUAGGCGACGAUCCCUAGCUGGUCUGAGAGGAUGACCAGCCACACUGGGACUGAGACACGGGCCGGACGCCGACGGGAGGCAGCAGUGGGGAAUAUUGCACAAUGGGCGUAAGCCUGGUGCAGCCAGGCGGCGUGUAUGAAGAAGGUCUUCGGGUUGUAAAGUACUUUCAGCGAGGAGGCGUUACUCGCAGAAGAAGCACCGGCUAACUCCGUGCCAGCAGCCGCGGUAAUUG
rnacentral:rRNA from 1 species